rnacentral:rRNA from 1 species
GACGAACCGAGCGAACGUUGUUCGGAAUCACUGGGCUUAAAGGGCGCGUAGGCGGGCGAUCAAGUCAGGGGUGAAAGCCCCCAGCUCAACUGGGGAAGUGCCUCUGAUACUGAUCGUCUCGAGGGGGAUAGGGGCGUGCGGAACUUCCGGUGGAGCGGUGAAAUGCGUAGAUAUCGGAAGGAACACCGGUGGCGAAAGCGGCGCGCUGGAUCCCUUCUGACGCUGAGGCGCGAAAGCCAGGGGAGCAAAGCGGGG